GCUCCAUUAGCUCAGUUGGCUAGAGCACCUGACUUUUAAUCAGGGUGUCCCGCGUUCGAGUCGCGGAUGGGGUACCA
rnacentral:tRNA from 1 species